UACGAAGGGGGCUAGCGUUGCUCGGAAUGACUGGGCGUAAAGGGCGCGUAGGCGGCCUGGCAAGUGGAAGGUGAAAUCCCUCGGCUUAACCGAGGAACUGCCCUCCAAACUGCUUGGCUUGAGUCCGGGAGAGGUGAGUGGAAUUCCCAGUGUAGCGGUGAAAUGCGCAGAUAUCAGGAGGAACACCGGUGGCGAAGGCGGGUCUCUGGGCCGUAACUGACGCUGAGGAGCGAAAGCAUGGGGAGCGAACAGG
rnacentral:rRNA from 1 species